AUUCAGCUCAGGCUGUGUCACAUGAGCACUGAGCUCCAGGGCCAUGGACAAGUCUAGAGGCGAUAUAGCUGCAGACAGGUGGAGGACACUGCAAGAGGAAGGCUCCCAUUUAGCAGGAAAACUGCCAGCUGGGAAGAAUGCUGGUGGCUGCCUGAGUUGGGAAGAAUUCCCAAGCCCUCUGCAAGCUCAGAAGCCAGGAAAUGAAUGGGAAGCAGCUGGAGUGGGCCAAGCAAGUCAAGGCAAAUGGCCCAGAAGUGAGCAGAAGGGGGCCAGGCCCACCCCCAGGAAACCCAGCAGAGGUCAACUAGGCCUGUGGCACUGGAGGAGGCUAGGAGAGGACUUUCAACGGAAUCCUACAAAAGAUCUGGCUAAGAGCUUGGCCAAAGACUAACAAAUACAUCCUGGAUAAAAUUAAAUUUUUGUCCUUGUGAUGCCUCAUCAGAGGGGUUAAAAACAUCAGUUCGGGUCUAUGAUCUAUGCACAAUUGAGAACAUCUACUGAAAGCAAUAAAUGCCUAAUGCCCCAGGCUAGAAUUGGUGAGUAUUUUCUCUUCAUGUGAUGCAAUAGAUACAAUUAACAAAACAAGGCCGGGUGCAGUGGCUCAUGCCAGUAAUCCCAGCACUUUGGGAGGCUGAGGCAGGAGGAUCGCUCGAGCUCAGGAGUUGGAGACAAGCCUGGGCAACAUGGCAAAAACCCAUCUCCACAAAACAUUCAAAAAAUUAGCUAGACAUAGUGGCGCGUGCCUGUAGUCCCAGCUACUCGGGAGGCUGAG
rnacentral:lncRNA from 1 species